GGGUGAGUAAUGCAUCGGAACGUGCCAUUGAGUGGGGGAUAGCGUAGCGAAAGUUGCGCUAAUACCGCAUAUUCUGUGAGCAGGAAAGCAGGGGACCGCAAGGCCUUGCGCUCUUUGAGCGGCCGAUGUCAGAUUAGCUAGUUGGUGAGGUAAAGGCUUACAAGGCGACGAUCUGUAGCGGGUCUGAGAGGAUGAUCCGCCACACUGGAACUGAGACACGGUCCAGACUCCUACGGGAGGCAGCAGUGGGGAAUUUUGGACAAUGGGGGCAACCCUGAUCCAGCCAUGCCGCGUGAGUGAAGAAGGCCUUCGGGUUGUAAAGCUCUUUCGGCCGGGAAGAAAUCGCAUGGGCCAAUACCCUGUGUGGAUGACGGUACCGGAAUAAGAAGCACCGGCUAACUACGUGCCAGCAGCCGCGGUAAUACGUAGGGUGCGAGCGUUAAUCGGAAUUACUGGGCGUAAAGCGUGCGCAGGCGGUUUUGUAAGACAGGCGUGAAAUCCCCGGGCUUAACCUGGGAACUGCGUUUGUGACUGCAAGGCUAGAGUACGGCAGAGGGGGGUGGAAUUCCACGUGUAGCAGUGAAAUGCGUAGAGAUGUGGAGGAACACCAAUGGCGAAGGCAGCCCCCUGGGUCGAUACUGACGCUCAUGCACGAAAGCGUGGGUAGCAAACAGGAUUAGAUACCCUGGUAGUCCACGCCCUAAACUAUGUCAACUAGGUGUUGGGUGGGUAAAACAUUUAGUACCGUAGCUAACGCGUGAAGUUGACCGCCUGGGGAGUACGGCCGCAAGGUUAAAACUCAAAGGAAUUGACGGGGACCCGCACAAGCGGUGGAUGAUGUGGAUUAAUUCGAUGCAACGCGAAAAACCUUACCUACCCUUGACAUGCCAGGAACUUGCCAGAGAUGGCUUGGUGCCCGAAAGGGAGCCUGGACACAGGUGCUGCAUGGCUGUCGUCAGCUCGUGUCGUGAGAUGUUGGGUUAAGUCCCGCAACGAGCGCAACCCUUGUCGUUAAUUGCCAUCAUUUAGUUGGGCACUUUAACGAGACUGCCGGUGACAAACCGGAGGAAGGUGGGGAUGACGUCAAGUCCUCAUGGCCCUUAUGGGUAGGGCUUCACACGUCAUACAAUGGUCGGUACAAAGGGUUGCCAAGCCGCGAGGCGGAGCCAAUCCCAGAAAGCCAAUCGUAGUCCGGAUUGCAGGCUGCAACUCGCCUACAUGAAGUCGGAAUCGCUAGUAAUCGUGGAUCAGCAUGUCACGGUGAAUACGUUCCCGGGUCUUGUACACACCGCCCGUCACACCAUGGGAGCGGGUUCCGCCAGAAGUAGGUAGCCUAACCGCAAGGGGGGCGCUUACCACGGCGGGGUUCGUGACUGGGGUGAAGUCGGAACAAGGUA
rnacentral:rRNA from 1 species